rnacentral:rRNA from 1 species
AUUGAACGCUGGCGGCAGGCCUAACACAUGCAAGUCGAGCGAGCGGCGGACGGGUGAGUAAUGUCUGGGAAACUGCCUGAUGGAGGGGGAUAACUACUGGAAACGGUAGCUAAUACCGCAUACCAUCAGAUGUGCCCAGAUGGGAUUAGCUAGUAGGUGGGGUAACGGCUCACCUAGGCGACGAUCCCUAGCUGGUCUGAGAGGUUGACCGGCCACACUGGAACUGAGACACGGUCCAGACUCCUACGGGAGGCAGCAGUGGGGAAUCUUGCACAAUGGGCGAAAGCCUGAUGCAGCAAUGCCGCGUGAGUGAAGAAGGCUUUCGGGUUGUAAAGCACUUUCAGCAGGGAGGCGUUACCCGAAGAGGAAGCACCGGCUAACUCCGUGCCAGCAGCCGCGGUAAUAC